rnacentral:rRNA from 1 species
CACGUAGGGUGCGAGCGUUGUCCGGAAUUAUUGGGCGUAAAGAGCUCGUAGGCGGUGUGUCGCGUCGGCCGUGAAAACCUGCAGCUUAACUGUGGGCUUGCGGUCGAUACGGGCAUCACUGGAGUUCGGCAGGGGAGACUGGAAUUCCUGGUGUAGCGGUGAAAUGCGUAGAUAUCGGGAGGAACGCCGGUGGCGAAAGCGACUGUCUGGGGUGCCUGUGACGCUGAGGCGCGAAAGCCAGGGGAUCAAACGGG